rnacentral:rRNA from 1 species
CCCGUGGAGCUUUACUGCAGCCUGAUAUUGAAUGUUGGUACAGCUUGUACAGGAUAGGUAGGAGCCUUGGAAACCGGAGCGCCAGCUUCGGUGGAGGCAUCGGUGGGAUACUACCCUGGCUGUAUUGACCUUCUAACCCGCUGCCCUUAUCGGGCAGGGAGACAGUGUCAGGUGGGCAGUUUGACUGGGGCGGUCGCCUCCUAAAGGUAACGGAGGCGCCCAAAGGUUCCCUCAGAAUGGUUGGAAAUCAUUCGCAGAGUGUAAAGGCACAAGGGAGCUUGACUGCGAGACCUACAAGUCGAGCAGGGACGAAAGUCGGGCUUAGUGAUCCGGUGGUUCCGCAUGGAAGGGCCAUCGCUCAACGGAUAAA